rnacentral:lncRNA from 9 species
CUCUGCCGCCUCCCAGGUCAGGUCCCCAGCACCGCCACGAAGGCUGAAAUUCUGCUUGUCACGUGGCUGUCACGUGGCCCAGACCCCUCAAAGCCCUCAUCAUCUCAUAUGGAAAAUCAUAAUCACAGUACUGCUGGUACCUCUGAGGGCCUGUGUUACUGAAGAGGGCAAGCGUCUGCCAGACUCACUAAGGACUGGUGCUUCUGUGGGUCCUGUGGGAUUCGUCGGGGAUGUCAGUCAAGUGGGAAGAUUUCCACAUCCCAGAGUCCAUGGCCAUGCUGGACACUGACUGGCCUCCUGGUUGACCUCCCAGAAGAGAAAAAGCUCUGGGCCCCAACGCUGAGCGGUUGGCUGAAGAGUUGAGACAAUAGUGGGAAACCGUGCUGUGUCCAGCCCAGGCUUGCUCUCUGCUGGGGAGCAAGGUGAGUUUGGGGCUGCAUGGAGGGCAGCAGCUUGGGGAAUCCAUUCAGAAAGAGCCAAAGUGUAACCAGUAACUUAAAAAAUUCAAUCAGACUUAAGCACCCUCUGAUGUUAAUAGCCUUUUAACUUGCGGGGGUGGGGAGGGGACCACUGAAUUUCAGUUCAUGGCGAAGCUGAUAGAGGGGGAGAAGAAAGCGCUAGUUUUCCUGAAGUGAGCAUGUUUGACCGAAUGUCAGGAAAACAGGACAAGGGCCUUCCUUCUCGCCCUGUGACUGCGAGGUGUCAUUGGCGUGGACCACAUUAUCUCAGGUAAAGUGAGCCAGCUCUGCUUUGCUGUGAGGUUUGAAUUAAACUUUUCACACUGGGCAGGCCUCUGGUCCAAAUUGCAUCCAAUGGUUAGCUGAGACCUGCCAAUUUCCUACCAAGCACAGCCUGGCACAGGUGCCAACACAGCCAGCAGCAUGCUAAGUCAUCCUGAUAUUUUCUGUCACACAGUGACAUUCAACAGCAUCUUUCAGAAAAUGUCUUAAGUGGACGAUUCUAGCAGGUCUUUAUUAUUUUUUUUUCACUUUUUAAAGUUUUAUUGAAGUACAGUUGAUUUGCAGUGUUGUGUUAAUUUCUGCUGUAGAACAAAGUGAUUCAGUUAUACAUAUAUACACAUCCAUUCUUUCUCAGAUUCUUUUCCCAUGUAGGUUAUCACAGAACGUUGAGUGGAGGUCCCUGUGAUAUACAGCAGGUCCCUGUUGACCAUCCAUUCCAUAGACAAUAAUGUACAUAAGCCAAUCCCGAACCCUCAAUCCAUCCCUCCCUCCCUUAAGUUUGUUUUCGAAUUCUGCGAUUCUUUUUCUGUUUUGUAAAUAAGUUCAUUUGUAUCCAUUUUUUUUUAGAUCCCACAUAUAAGUGAUAUCAUAUGACGUUUGUCUUUCUCUGUCUGACUUACUUCACUGAGUAUGAGAAUCUCUAGGUCCGUCCAUGGUAGUUCAAAUGGCAUUAUUUCAUCCUUUUUAUGACUGAGUAAUAUUCCAUCAUAUAUGUGUACCACAUCUUCU